rnacentral:tRNA from 1 species
CCGACAGUAGUCUAAUGGAUAAGACAAAGGGCCGUAACCCCUAAGAUUAUCGGUUCGAAUCCGGUCUGUCGGACCA